rnacentral:rRNA from 1 species
UACGGAGGGUGCAAGCGUUAAUCGGAAUUACUGGGCGUAAAGCGUGCGCAGGCGGUUUGUUAAGUCCGCUGUGAAAUCCCCGGGCUUAACCUGGGAACUGCGUUUGAAACUACAAGGCUAGAGUGUGGCAGAGGGGGGUGGAAUUCCACGUGUAGCAGUGAAAUGCGUAGAGAUGUGGAGGAACACCGAUGGCGAAGGCAGCCCCCUGGGUUAACACUGACGCUCAGGCACGAAAGCGUGGGGAGCAAACAGG